rnacentral:rRNA from 1 species
GAUGAACGCUGGCGGCGUGCUUAACACAUGCAAGUCGAACGGGAAACCUUUUAUUGAAGCUUCGGCAGAUUUAGCUGGUUUCUAGUGGCGGACGGGUGAGUAACGCGUGGGUAACCUGCCUUAUACAGGGGGAUAACAACCAGAAAUGGUUGCUAAUACCGCAUAAGCGCACAGGACCGCAUGGUCCGGUGUGAUAAACUCCGGUGGUAUAAGAUGGACCCGCGUUGGAUUAGCUAGUUGGCAGGGUAACGGCCUACCAAGGCGACGAUCCAUAGCCGGCCUGAGAGGGUGAACGGCCACAUUGGGACUGAGACACGGCCCAGACUCCUACGGGAGGCAGCAGUGGGGAAUAUUGCACAAUGGGGGAAACCCUGAUGCAGCGACGCCGCGUGAAGGAAGAAGUAUCUCGGUAUGUAAACUUCUAUCAGCAGGGAAGAUAGUGACGGUACCUGACUAAGAAGCCCCGGCUAACUACGUG